GGCCUACCAUGGUGGUAACGGGUAACGGGGUGUUAGGGCACGACACCGGAGAGGGAGCCUGAGAAACGGCUACCACAUCCAAGGGUGGCAGCAGGCGCGCAAAUUACCCAAUCCCGACACGGGGAGGUAGUGACAAUAAAUAACAAUACGGGGUUCUUUCGGAUUUCGUAAUUGGAAUGAGUACAAUUUAAAUCUCUUAACGAGGAACAAUUGGAGGGCAAGUCUGGUGCCAGCAGCCGCGGUAAUUCCAGCUCCAAUAGCGUAUAUUAAAGUUGCUGCAGUUAAAAAGCUCGUAGUUGAAUUUCGGGACCAAUAUGUCGGUCGUGCCUCGGUACGUACUGGCAUCGUUGGUUUCUCCCUUCUGACGAACCAUGAUGUCAUUUAUUUGGUGUCGUGGGGAAUCAGGACUGUUACUUUGAAAAAAUUAGAGUGUUUAAAGCAGGCUCACGCUUGAAUACAUUAGCAUGGAAUAAUGAAAUAGGACGUUUGAUUCUAUUUUGUUGGUUUCUAGGAUCGACGUAAUGAUUAAUAGGGAUAGUUGGGGGCAUUAGUAUUCAAUUGUCAGAGGUGAAAUUCUUGGAUUUAUUGAAGACUAACUACUGCGAAAGCAUUUGCCAAGGAUGUUUUCAUUAAUCAAGAACGAAAGUUAGGGGAUCGAAGACGAUCAGAUACCGUCGUAGUCUUAACCAUAAACUAUGCCGACCAGGGAUCGGAUGAUGUUAAUUUUUUAAUGACUCAUUCGGCGCCUUACGGGAAACC
rnacentral:rRNA from 1 species